CAUUGAGGAGGGUCGUAUUUUCCCAGGAGGAGAGGGACGCCAUCCUCAACGAGGUUCAUGGAGGCCACUUCGGCAGGGACCGCAUGGUGGACAAGAUUACAAAGCGGUUCUACUGGCGCAGUAUCACUGCUGAUGUGGGGAAGACGAUUUAUGGCUGCAAACACUGCGAAAGAUUUGAGAAGGUGAAGACGGAGCCACCCGAGCUGAAGCCGAUAAAGCCGGUUGCACCCUGGCAUAUGAUCGGUGUUGACCUCAUCGGACCCCUGCAGAAGUCAAGCAAAGGUGGGAAC